UACGGGGGGAGCAAGCGUUGUUCGGAUUUACUGGGCGUAAAGGGCGCGUAGGCGGUCGUGACAAGUCACUUGUGAAAUCUCCGGGCUUAACUCGGAACGGUCAAGUGAUACUGUCGGACUAGAGUACAGAAGGGGCAACUGGAAUUCUCGGUGUAGCGGUGAAAUGCGUAGAUAUCUGGAGGAACACCGGUGGCGAAGGCGGCAUCCUGGACCGAGACUGACACUGAGGAGCGAAAGCCAGGGGAGCAAACGGG
rnacentral:rRNA from 1 species